rnacentral:lncRNA from 1 species
UUUUUCUUUUUUCUAUGAUGUGCAUAUUAGCAGAUAUUAUCACCUAAAAACAGAAAUGGAUGAUCUCACUUCUAUCAAAAAUAAAAAUGAAACUUAGAAGAAUAAAGUAACAACUGAUUACUUUUAUGAAAUAAAUCAAUUAAUGAUUUUCUUAGCAAAUAAAAUAAACUUUAAAUGUUUAAUUAUAAAUUAAUUUAAUUUACAUUAAUAUUAAUUAAUGUAAUUAUAAAGAUAAUAUGAGAACAUUCUAUACAUAUUGUAUAUGUAUUUACAACAAAUAGAAUAAAUCUCCUAAUUAUUUUAUUUAAUUAAUAGAGAAGAUAUUCACUUACUGAUUUGUCUUAUAAUUCCAUUGAAAUCAUUGAUAUUUGACAUCUCCCAUGAUUGCUAGGAAUGUAUAUAUAGAAACAUUUUUAUUUUUGUGCUUAAAUGAAUUGGCAUACUUCCCUAUUUUUCACUUUGCACCGAUACACAAAUUGAAAAGUAACUACUUGCCUCAGAUCUUAGCAGUUCUCUCACCCAGUUUGUAGCUUAGUGCAUUUUCCAUUCAAACAUCCUUCUCUCUUAGCUAAUAAACUUUCAUAAAAAAUGUUUUAUUUCCUUGUAGUUCUGCCUCACAUUUAUCUGUUGCAUGAGACAACUGAUCCUAUGGUGUAUUCCAGAAAUGUAUAGAAAAACCUCUCCUCACCAUCCUAACCUGUUCAAUUAAUUUCCAGCUCUGCUGAAUAUACAUUCUGUGUACUUGGCUUGCUGAAAUCAUGACAGCUACCUUCUCCGUAUUUCAGACAGCCGUAUUUCUGCUGUGAAUAAUUGAAUGCAAAAGCAUUGCUUCUCUGCCAGACACCUGCAAAAGUCACACUAAGCAAACGUGAUUAAAUUUUUCUCUAUUUUAUGACGAUUCUUAGGAAAUAGUUCAGGAAAUGAAAGUAGAAUAUCGGAAACCUUAUGAAAUUGUGGAAAUAUACUAUCAUCCACUUCAAUCAUGUUGGUCUAGAAGUUUAAGAAACAAUAUUUAAAGAAAGAACUUCCAGGGAUGUGGCAACACUGGGUAUUAUGAGUGUAGUUUCUUAGAUCUCACAUUGCUCUGAUUACACUAAUAGAUCACAUUUUUGAGUCUUGGUAUUUUUAACAUGAGAAGAGAGUCAGGCACUGAUCUCCUGGGAAGAAAGCAAAGUCCAGGCCACAUCUCUGC